CAUGAAAAGUUGUAUUUGUAUCCUACUGGUAUUGGCGCUAGUUGGCCUGUCAAUGGCUGACAUAGAGUGCUAUCAUACCGAUUUGAAUAUAAAUACAUGUAAAAAACCUUACUGUGAUUGGUGGUGGGGUUCGUGUCCUGAAGGAUAUGAAAGAUGCCACUGGAAUCCAGUGAACUGGUGCAGAUUCUUUUACCAUACCUGCUGCAUAACAAAAUAAAUUCACGAUGGUGUUGCUUCUACAUUAAUUCAUUCAAUUAUUUCCAAAAAAUGUAUUUUAUUCCGACAAAACUUAUGUUUUUUUGUUUA